GGCUUGAUGAAGCCCUAACUAUUAAUGUGAUAAGACCCCAGAGCAAUAUGGGGUCUGUUCCUAUACCCAUCUCCUUCUGGUCAUGAGGAAGCCUACACAAGGGGUGUGUAUGUGUGGUGCUGACUCCAAGCCUAAAUCUGAAGCAGGCAGGUGGCUCUGCUGUGUGCAGGUCUCCAUGGCCCCUGGGAAGGUGUCCCAAAGUAGGAAGGUAAGUUCCCAGAGAGCAGGGCUCCAAGUACGGACAGACUGGGCAGGAGAGGCCCUGAGUGGGUGGAUGUCUCCCUUGACAGAGCUUGGAACAGACUCCUGGUCAGCAGCUAUUGAGGCUGGCUUUCCCUUAACCUGCCCAGAUUGGGACUUCAAUACUGCUAAGGUGCGACUCUCUGUCUAUCACCAUUC
rnacentral:lncRNA from 1 species